UAGUGGUGAUGAGGACAUCUAAUCAACAAGGAUUUAAAUCUAUCCCAAGCUUGGUAAAUAUUUUAGCAUCCUAUAUGUUUAAAACUCAAGAUCUCACUCCUCAACUU